CUGCGAAAAUGCUGUGUGGAUGCCUUAAUGCUGAAGAUGUCGGCUGAAAAAAGCAGAAAAGGUUGAAAAAAAAAAGUUGCCCUGAGCAGGAUUCUAACCUGGCCCUUCUGGUACUCAAGGCAGGCACACAUCUCACUGCGCCACAGUCUCUCUCACAAAGAAGAGGUGGAGAGACUGACAAUUGUGCUGAAAUGAGCAGAAGCUGCGGAGAAUUGGGCUGAUAAGAGGUGGAAAGGCUGAAAAUUUUACAGAAGAGGUGACUAAGUAGAAUUUCUGCUGAAAAGAGAUGAAAAUUCUGCUGAAAAGAGUUUAAUCAGCAGAAUUUCUACUGAAAAGAGUUGAAUGAGCAGAAUUUCUACUGAAAAGAGUUUAAUCAGCACAAUUUCUACUGAAAAGAGUUUAAUCAGCACAAUUUCUACUGAAAAGAGUUCAAUCAGCACAAUUUCUACUGAAAAGAGUUUAAUCAGCAGAAUUUCUACUGAAAAGAUUGAAUGAGCAGAAUUCUCCUGAAAAGAGGUUUUUGCUGAAAAUAGCA